UACGGGGGGGUCAAGCGUUGUUCGGAAUUACUGGGCGUAAAGGGCUCGUAGGUGGCCAACUAAGUCAGACGUGAAAUCCCUCGGCUUAACCGGGGAACUGCGUCUGAUACUGGAUGGCUUGAGUUUGGGAGAGGGACGCGGAAUUCCAGGUGUAGCGGUGAAAUGCGUAGAUAUCUGGAGGAACACCAGUGGCGAAAGCGACUUUCUGGUCCUUAACUGACGCUGAGGCGCGAAAGCAUGGGGAGCGAACGGG
rnacentral:rRNA from 1 species